UGAUGCUGCCAGGGCCAAUGGGCGCGGCCAACGGGGAGGCUCCGCCCCGAAAGCGCCCAGGUCUUUUCUCUUCUUAGCAUAAUCUAUGGGGCUCCAGCCUCAUUUGAAUGUUUGCUUAGGACCUGACGGUUCUGGGUCCCGCGGGCUAAGCUGGAGUGACCAGGCAUCUCGUGUCUCCCAGCACUGCGCACCCAGUUUUCCGCGUGACCCCCAAAAUGUCGUACCUUUGGGUACCCACCCUCAAGUUCACAGCCCCACCAGUCAGCCCCACCCUGCGGUCGGGGCUCUGUCCAAGGUGCUGCUGGCUCAGGCCCAUUCGGAAGGUUCCAGACGAGCGCUGGCGCGUCCCCACUUUGGAGAUGAUCUCUCCAGUGGCCCCAGAUACCCAAGCCUCGGAGGAGAUGCGUGACGCACCAGGAGCCCUCGGCAAGGCCCGGAUCUUCCGGCCAGGAUUCUCUGAGCUUGGGCGAGGCCCAACUCACUCGCUAUUAUCGCUCACAAGGCGCACCCUCGACCCAGCCCAGCCCAGGCCAGCACCUGCUGAAAUUCUUCUACUACAACAUGUUCAUCAAGGACCCCACUUGUCUUGAGUCCAUGUCCCUUCUCCAGAAUGCCUCCAAAUGCCAGUGACAUUUUGACUACUUUUUUUGACUUCUAACCUCUCACUGAGGGCAGCAAUCCAAGAUGACCCCAGGAGGGUCUCAGAGACUCCUAAAAACAGAGACUACCUCCCACAUCAAGAUCUAUGGGUUGGUGAGCUGGACCUAGAGGUUCAGGCCAAAUACCCAGAAUAGAACAAGAUGCUUCCAGUCCGAUUUCUGGUCUCCUUGGAAUGACCAGAGACCAAGCUGCCUUUGAAGUGGCAAAAGGCCGAGGUAGAAUGUGGCAUAACGUCUCGGAUAUCCGUCUCACUGGCAGAAGGUCCGAUGGACCUUGGGGGUCCGAAGUCAGAGAGCAGAGAUGAGCGAGCGUAAGGAGCUCUGGCUGGAGGCACUCAGGGGCUGAUAGCCGGUGGCAGGACCCUCUGCCUGGGGGUCCCCAGGAGGACAGGGUAGGGCCACCCCUUGGGGCCGGCGGUACCACACAGCCCAGCUUCUCCCGGCGCCCCGGGAAGGUCCCAAUGCCGGGGGCCCUUUUCCCCGAGCCAGAACACAGCUCCUAGAGAGGGAGCAGACAUCAGCUGGACCCCGACCCAAUCCCACCUCCAGCAUCCUGAUCUGCCUGCGACCCCACGCUCAACUCUAGGUGUGGACCCAAGGUCUUGCCCGCUCCAGAACCUGGGAAUCCCUUCUUAGUUCCCCUCUGGGGCCCUAGUUCCCCACCGGGGCUCCCGUGCCCUGGUGCACCAAGGUGUCAAGCGCCUGGUGCGGGGGUCCGCCCUCAGGCCCUGCCCCAGCGCCCGCACCGUCGGCGCAGCAGACGCAACAGAGACAGGAGCAGCAGCAGCAGCACAGAGACGGCCGUCACCGUUGAGAAGACCCGGGCUGCGGGCACACGGGUGCAGCGCAGAGGUCCGGGCGGAGGAGGGCGGGAGCCGUCAAAGGUGCGGAGCAGGCUGCCCGAGGCGGCGUCGCGCAGCUCCAACCGGUCACGCGGGUCGGCCAGCUCAAAGAGGCGGAAGGUGAGCUCCAAAGCGGCACUGGUCGGGCCCAGCACCCAGCUGCAGUUCCGAUCUGGUCCAUACUCGUCGGGAAAGUCCGGCGAGUAGAUGACUCCCUGAGGCGCAGUCCAGUUUCCCUGACAGGAGCCCACCGACACUGCAGGCAGGGAUUACUGUCAGGACCCUGAAGCCAGUGGCUUUUCCUUUACCGCUCGGAGUUCCCCGCCAAAGUUCAUAGCAAAGCCCAGCUGGGCCUAACCCCAGGCCAGUUACUCCAGAGGCCCCGCCCCAAAUCCAGGCCCUGUCCAAUCUCCUUCCGUCCACGCCUUCCACCAAUACAUUUCAGGUCUGGCUCUCAACUCCCAGGUUCAGCCCUGUCCCCUUUUCGGGGUCCAAUCCUCAAUCCCAGUUCUUCCUCAGGCCGGGACACCAGCCUAGCGAUCCCCCUUCCCAGAUUCUGCCCCUAUGAGGGCAUGACACGUCGGGUCCCACCUGGUCUCUUCCCCUCACCCAAGUCCCCCACCCUUGAAGCCAUAUCCACACCUAACCUUCAUAGAUGCCUAGCCGUCCAUCACCGCCACACAGCUGGCCCGGGUGGCCAAAACAGAUCUGGUCACAGUCCGUAGCGGGAGCAAGGCGUCCCCGGGCCAGGUCGCUUUCAGAGCCACAGAAGCAGGCAUAACCAGCCUCCACACCGGCCAGCUGGGAGCAUAGACUGAGUAACCCAAAGGCAGGGAUGGGGUAGGAGUGGAGUGCUGGGGUCAGAAGUAGGAAUCAGGCUGGCGGUUCAGAACCAGUAUUAGGAUUUGGCGUCAGAGUGUUGGGAGUUGAGUGGGGUCCUGAGGUCAAAGUCAGGGUUACUGGUCUGGGCUUGUCAGCAGUACCUGGUAGCCCUUCAUGCGGCAGAAGCGAAGGCACACCUGGACAGUGAGCUUCGUGGAGGUGCCACUGGGACCACUGAGAGCUGGGGGUGCACCGGAGUCUACAAAGCAUCCCAGGUAGCCAGGCACUGAGGAGAAAGCAGAGUAAGAAUACCAUCCCUGAAAGCGACCCUCCACCCAGGUUCCUCAGAACUCCCACCUCUGUCCAGCUGACCCACUCACUGUGACAUGUGGGAAUGUCACAAUAGCGCCAGUAGAUGCCCUCCUCAGUUUCAGCUACAUAGCACCAUGGCUGCACAUCACCAUCGGGGUUCCUGCAGGUGUGGGGGGUAGUGGUCAGGAUCCCACGGCCCUGCCCCAUCACCUGUGAGCAAUGUGCCCACUAAGGCUCUGUGUAUGUUGGAGGCCAUGUUCCUUUCUGUUAUCACACAAAUUCUUGUUUUCUCAAUGCGCUUCUGGACGUCAACUUCUUAGAUGACGGUGGGGUGUCAUUAAAGGACCCUUGAGGGCUGUUUUUA